AUUUGUAUUACGAGCGAAAUUGUUACCAUUUUCGGCUCAAAAAUGGUAACAAUUUCCGCACGUAAUACAAAU
rnacentral:miRNA from 1 species